rnacentral:tRNA from 1 species
UCGCCGGGCUGGACGAAGGCCAGCUGGAGCGCUUCUUUCGCGGGCGCAGCCUGUUCCGGCAGGCGUGGGUGGUCGCGCCGUCUCGCGACGAA